rnacentral:rRNA from 1 species
AGAGUCACUCCUACGGGAGGCAGCAGUGGGGAAUUUUGCGCAAUGGGGGAAACCCUGACGCAGCAACGCCGCGUGGAGGAUGAAGGUCUUCGGAUUGUAAACUCCUGUUGCCCGGGACGAAAUGCUUCGACCUAACACGUCGAAGUUUGACGGUACCGGGUGAGGAAGCCCCGGCUAACUCUGUGCCAGCAGCCGCGGUAAUACAGAGGGGGCAAGCGUUGUUCGGAAUUACUGGGCGUAAAGGGCGCGUAGGCGGCCUUCUAAGUCGAACGUGAAAUCCCCGGGCUCAACCCGGGAACUGCGUCCGAUACUGGAAGGCUUGAAUCCGGGAGAGGGAUGCGGAAUUCCAGGUGUAGCGGUGAAAUGCGUAGAUAUCGCUUGGAACGCCGAAGGUGAAAACAGGCUGCUGGGGUUGCGCCGACGCUGAGACACGAAAGCCAGGGGAGCAAACGGGAUUAGAUACCCUGGUAGUCCACGCCCUAAACGAUGACGACUAGUUGUUGGAGGAGUUAAAUCCUUUAGUAACGCAGCUAACGCGCGAAGUCGUCCGCCUGGGGAGUACGGUCGCAAGAUUAAAACUUAAAGGAAUUGACG